rnacentral:rRNA from 1 species
GUCCACGCCGUAACUAUGGAUGCUAGCUGUUAUCAGUAUCGACCCUGGUAGUAGCGAAGCUAACGCGUUAAGCAUCCCGCCUGUGGAGUACGGCCGCAAGGCUAAACAUAAAGGAAUUGACGGGGACCCGCACAAGCGGUGGAGCGUGUUGUUUAAUUCGACGGUAAGCGAAGAACCUUACCCAGGCUUGACAUCCUUGGAAGUUCUGCGAAAGCAGAACGUGCCUUCGGGAAUCAAGUGACAGGUGUUGCAUGGCCGUCGU